GUGGAAGAUGCAGGAGAAAAUGCAGCAUCUCACAGGGGCAGCUUGGUUCUCCUCCUCCUGUCCCAAGAAUAGAUGAGAUAAUCAUGGCAAAGUAGUUGUGCUCCUUUUAAACAAAUGAGUAGCAAGACUGUCAGCAGGAAAUGGCUUUGCUUGAAAUGCAUUGUUUUCAAUCAGUUUAAGAAAGCAACAAACUCAUAUCAAAAAGUCCGAUGAUACACGUUGUUGCAGUGUUUGAGGAAGGAGGAAGUGUACAAGAUCACAGGUCGUCACCACCGACAUGGAUGUAAGUCCUUAAGAGGUCCCACCUCAUACCCAGCUGACUGAUUAGGCUCACUGUGAAUGGCUUCUGGUUUUUCCUUGUUCAUGGCUAGUGGCUCUGCAUCCUCAGCAUCAGGCAAUGUGUCUUCCCCAAUGGGUAAUAUUUCCAGAAUAGCCAUCAGACUGCUUUUGUUUUGGCAUUUCCUCAUGCUACCAUCAUCAGCAAACAUAGACCUUGGUACAACCGAGAGUUUGUGUUUCACUAUAGAGUCUUCAAGAUUUAUUUCUGUUCCAUGAAGGGUUCAUUUACCAUCGGGUGUAUCUUCAGCGAAAUCAAUAUUGUCUAAUGCAAAGAAUAUGAAUCUUCCUUCAACUACUUCAGGAGUCAUCAUUGACCAGCAUUCUCUCUACAACAGUAGCUAUCUGCACCUCACGUCAUAAAAUCCUGUUAUAGUCAACACACAAACCAAACUGAUGCAACAUGUUGACAAGCUUCUUGCUCCGAAAAGCUUGGCGAUUGCAAUACCCAGUUGUUGAGGCAUUUCGUGGGUGGUCAUUAGAGUCUGUGAUUUCUUCUUGUGGACCUGGUCUUAGGACAGAAACAAAGACACUGUAGUCUGAGCUAAACUCGUGGCAUGCUGAUUGACUUUUUUUCUUGUCUUUAGAGGUAUUCUGAAGAUAACUACAUAAGUGGUUUGCUUUCAUCACAAAAAUCCCAUGGGUCCUGCACUACAAACCAUGCCAUGUUAACACCUGAUCCUAAAUAUAUAGGAUCCUAAAAUAUGAUCCUAAAUAUAAGCUGCAUGUGUCAAAUAUCAUUAUAGUAAGGAACAUGCUAAUAA